CAUCUUUUUGGAAUAGAAAAAAAAAUAUUUUUGUGGCCUUACGUCUGAAAUGUCUUUUCCUCUCAUGCUCUAGAUAAAAGAAUUGUUUAAUAGUAAUCGUGAAGAAGUUUUCAAAAUCCCCCGGCCUACCUGUGCUGAAAGAAGAGGGUUUUUUGAGGAUUUGAUCAUGAAGCAAGCUGCUGAACCUCCUGCAUCAAAAACCAAUGCAGCAAGUGUUGGAUUCUAUUGUUGAGGCAACUGAAAGCGUCAGUAUAUCGAGCAUGGAAAAACUAUAUUCUAUCCUUAGCCUGUGCAUUUACCGACAUCGAGAUGAUGCCGACAAAACUGAAUUAGUGACGGAAAUGAAGAAAGAAAUUGCAGCCCUCAGUUGGCUAUGAUACUUGACUUCAGCAUACUUGACAUACUCUAAUGUUCAUGGCUCCCAAAUAGAUAAGUUGUGUUUAUCAUGUCUCAGUAAUUGUAGCAGGUAUAAAAAAAAGAAUAGAAGAAAGAAACUUUAAGCAUGUAACUGAAACCAGACAUAACAGAACCGGUGACACUUGGCAAAACGACUAAGGUAACACCAGAUUAUAAGGAACAAAAUAAGGCUAUCUUGUGAAACUAAGUAAGGGUAAUUCUGACAGUAGGAGACUGUGCCCACUGGUUCAAGAAAGGAAGACACCAUCUGAAGUAAGAAGGGCACUAGCUCAAAAGAAGAUUGAGCAUGUGGGCAUGUGAAGUGACAGAAUCAUUUAACCAAUAGAAGACUAAUUAAUAAGAGGACUAUGGAAUUUGGAGCCAAUGAACAUUAGUGUCUUUGCUAAGAAUAGUGAAAUGUUGCCAUACUCAGUAUGCUGGCUUUGUGGAUUAUUUCUGCAAAUAAAUCAAAU
rnacentral:lncRNA from 1 species